AUAUGGAUAACUUGAUCAAAAUGUUGACCAAGGAUAAUGAUGUUGAGGAUGAAUACAAAAUUGAUAGUGAAGAAGAAGAAGGAGAACAAUCAACUAAUGAUGAAGAAGCUGACAACUUAGAAUCCUCAAGUGCAGAAGAAGAAUCUAACUCUGAAGACGGUAUCAUAAAGCUGAAGAUAUUUUGAUGUUUUAGCCUUUUGUUUUUAGGCUUAUAUUUUUGGUUAUGUAAUAACCUUAUCC
rnacentral:lncRNA from 1 species